GACGAACGCUGGCGGCGUGCUUAACACAUGCAAGUCGAACGGAAAGGCCCAAGCUUGUUGCGGUCCUCGAGUGGCGAACGGGUGCGUAACACGUGGGUGACCUGCCCUCCACUUAGGGAUAACCCUGGCCAACUGGUUCUAAUACCGGAUAGGAUUAUCGCCUGGAUGCCGGUGUGGAUAGUUUUUUCGUUUUGGGAUGAGCUUGCGGCCUAUCAGCUUUUUUGUGGGGCAAUGGUGUUCCCAGGCGCAGCCGGGUAGGCCGUGUGGGAGGGUGUACGUCCUCAUUGGGACUGGGAUUCAGCCCAGACUCCGACGUGUAGGGGCAGUGGGGAAUAUUGCACAAUGGGAGUGAGCCUGAUGCUGAUACGCCGCGGGGGGGAUGACGGCGUUGGGGUUGGAGAUGCCAUUCGCUAGGGACGGAGAGUUUUGUGACGGUACCUGGAGAAUAAGCACCGGCUAACUACGUG
rnacentral:rRNA from 1 species